rnacentral:rRNA from 1 species
GUCCGGGAUAACCCCGGGAAACUGGGACUAAUACCGGAUAUAUCAGGGAUACUGGAAUGUUCCCUGGUACAAAGCUCCGGCGCCCAAGGAUGGGUCUGCGGCCUAUCAGGUUGUAGUGGGUGUAACGUACCUACUAGCCUACGACGGGUAAGGGUUGUGAGAGCAACAGCCCUGAGAUGGAUUCUGAGACAUGAAUCCAGGCCCUACGGGGUGCAGCAGGCGCGAAAACUUUACACUGCUAGCAAUAGCGAUAAGGGGACCCCGAGUGCUUUCGUCUAACGAAGGCUGUCCCGCUGUCCAAACAACAGUGGUUAGCAAGGGCCGGGCAAGACCGGUGCCAGCCGCCGCGGUAACACCGGCGGCCCGAGUGGUAGCCGUUAUUAUUGGGUUUAAAGGGUCCGUAGCCGGCUUGUUAAGUCUCUUGGGAAAUCUGGCGGCUCAAUCGUCAGGCGUCCAAGAGAUACUGACAGGCUUGGGACCGGGAGAGGUGGGAGGUACUCCACGGGGUAUGGGUGAAAUCUCGUAAUCCUUGGGGGACCACCGAUGGCGAAGGCAUCCCACCAGAACGGGUCCGACGGUGAGGGACGAAAGCUGGGGGCACGAACCGGAUUAGAUACCCGGGUAGUCCCAGCUGUAAACGAUGCUCGCUAGGUGUCAGGUGCGGUGCGACCGCAUCUGGUGCCGCAGUGAAAACCUGAAGCGAGUCACCUGGGAAGUACGGUCGCAAGGCUGAAACUUAAAGGAAUUGGCGGGGGAGCACUACAACGGGUGGAGCCUGCGGUUCAAUUGGAUUCAACGCCGGAAAGCUUACCGGACUCGACAGCAAUAUGAAGGUCAGGCUAAAGACCUUACCGAAUUCGCUGAGAGGAGGUGCAUGGCCGUCGUCAGUUCGUAUCGUGAGACAUCCUGUUAAGUCAGGCAACGAGCAAGACCCGUGCCCACAGUUGCCAGCAUUUUCGCAAGAAAGAUGGGCACACUGUGGGGACCGCCGCUGCUAAAGCGGAGGAAGGAGCGGGCUACGGUAGGUCAGUAUGCCCCGAAUGGUCCGGGCUACACGCGGGCUACAAUGGUUGGGACAAUGGGCACCUAUACCGAGAGGUAAUGGUAAUCUCCUAAACCCAGCCUUAGUUCGGAUUGAGGGCUGCAACUCGCCCUCAUGAAGCCG